AGCAUAAUGCUACCAGUGUUGAAAUGUUACUUACCGAUCCAAACAUAGUUAGAUCGGCGAAAUGUCAACCCUUGUCAUCAAAGAUCCGGCUGGCUUGGGAAUUUUGGUCGAAUUACCUGCACAUUUGCGAAAGGAUCUGCCCCUGAAGGGAGCACCAGGUGCACCUAGUGGAAAUGCAGCGCUUUUAUAGUAAAUGCGAUGAAGGAACCUUACUGAUUUACUGACUGAAGUUAUUUAAAAUGCAGCUUAAAUAAUUAAAACUUUGGUCUGGAGCAGAUUACGAUGGCUAAAUUGUUGAGAAGAUUUUAAAUAAAUGACUGAUUAGGAUCAAAAUGCUUCGAAACUUUAAUUUUACGCUAACAAAUAUUUUCUAAGAAUAGUAGAUCGCUCUUUCAGCGUUGGUCACCCUGCUGUGGCGAAGGGGCUUAUGUAAUAAGUAAUAGUAAUGGCCACAACACAAAUGGGAACUAAGAAGGAUACCUCAUAAUUUCGGAAGUAUUCUAAUGCUUUCUCUAGGACGAGUGAAUAAUCCCUACCAGCUGACUCGUAGAUACAGAAUUAAUACAACCAAUUAGGAUACAAAUAUCUUGUGCAGUUAACAUAACGGGUGCCAAGCAAAGUAGUCGUACACUAAGGAUAACUAUGGAAAUAUGGAACUGACUGCUAAGGGAGUAAAUCAGCGUACGAAAAGGAAACAGUCUCUUAUCAAGUGAGCAAAAUCCGGGAUGUUAUUAUUGUGGGUAAGAUUGGCACAAACCAGACUCCCGCACUUCAGUGGAUGAAGAGGAAAUAAAACGGCAGAGGAAUAUGAAAGUUUCCUGAAAAGUAAACAAUCAAAACCCCCUCUGAAACCAGUGGGCAAAAUGGUUCCUAAAAACCAAGGCUGUCUAUAAAUUUAAAUAGUUCAAAUAAUAGUUACUGCCUGACUAAAAAAGUCAUUAUGAAUCAUAAACAAAAUUUUAAUAUUUCGACAUCAUAUAUACUAAGCAAAAGGGUGACUUGACAAAUACUACUCUUUCACUAAGUUUUAUUUGUGUGGUAAGUGUUGUGGAAUCUGAUAGUUAUCGGAAUCAGAAUUGAAUCCGAUCAAAAAAA